CAGCAGCCGCGGUAAUACGGAAGGUCCAGGCGUUAUCCGGAUUUAUUGGGUUUAAAGGGAGCGUAGGCGGACGAUUAAGUCAGCUGUGAAAGUUUGCGGCUCAACCGUAAAAUUGCAGUUGAAACUGGUUGUCUUGAGUGCACGCAGGGAUGUUGGAAUUCAUGGUGUAGCGGUGAAAUGCUUAGAUAUCAUGAGGAACUCCGAUCGCGAAGGCAUAUGUCUGGAGUGCAACUGACGCUGAGGCUCGAAAGUGCGGGUAUCGAACAGGAUUAGAUACCCUGGUAGUCCGCACAGUAAACGAUGAAUACUCGCAGUGUGCGAUAUACUGUAUGCUGCCAAGUGAAAACGUUAAGUAUUCCACCUGGGGAGUACGCCGGCAACGGUGAAACUCAAAGGAAUUGACGGGGGCCCGCACAAGCGGAGGAACAUGUGGUUUAAUUCGAUGAUACGCGAGGAACCUUACCCGGGCUUGAACUAAGCAGGAAGAUGGGCAGAGACGCCUGUUGUCUUCGGACCUGCUUGGAGGUGCUGCAUGGUUGUCGUCAGCUCGUGCCGUGAGGUGUCGGCUUAAGUGCCAUAACGAGCGCAACCCUUCUCCACGUUUGCCAUCAGGUUAAGCUGGGCACUCCGUGGAUACUGCCAUCGUAAGAUGUGAGGAAGGUGGGGAUGACGUCAAAUCAGCACGGCCCUUACGUCCGGGGCUACACACGUGUUACAAUGGCCGGUACAGAGGGAAGCCACCAGGCGACUGGGCGCUGAUCCAUGAAAACCGGUCUCAGUUCGGACUGGAGUCUGCAACCCGACUCCACGAAGCUGGAUUCGCUAGUAAUCGCGCAUCAGCCAUGGCGCGGUGAAUACGUUCCCGGGCCUUGUACACACCGCCCGUCAAGCCAUGAAAGCCGGGGGUGCCUGAAAGCUGUGACCGUAAGGGGCGGCCUAGGGUAAAACCGGUGAUUGGGGCUAAGUCGUAACAAGGUAGCCGU
rnacentral:rRNA from 1 species